UGAGGAAUAUUGGUCAAUGGACGGAAGUCUGAACCAGCCAAGUAGCGUGCAGGAUGACGGCCCUAUGGGUUGUAAACUGCUUUUGUAUGGGGAUAAAGUUAGGGACGUGUCCCUAUUUGCAGGUACCAUACGAAUAAGGACCGGCUAAUUCCGUACCAGCAGCCGCGGUAAUACGGAAGGUCCAGGCGUUAUCCGGAUUUAUUGGGUUUAAAGGGAGCGUAGGCUGGAGAUUAAGUGUGUUGUGAAAUGUAGACGCUCAACGUCUGAAUUGCAGCGCAUACUGGUUUCCUUGAGUACGCACAACGUUGGCGGAAUUCGUCGUGUAGCGGUGAAAUGCUUAGAUAUGACGAAGAACUCCGAUUGCGAAGGCAGCUGACGGGAGCGCAACUGACGCUUAAGCUCGAAGGUGCGGGUAUCAAACAGG
rnacentral:rRNA from 1 species